ensembl:lncRNA
CUCAUUUACCCACCAACACAGUGUGUAGUCAAAGUUUCUGAUCUUUGCCAAAUAAAUGAAUGAAAAAUUGUAUUUCGGGAUAGUAGGUUUUUGUUUGUUUUUUUGCUGAGGAAGAUUCGCCCUGAGCUAGUGUCAGCUGCCAAUCUUCCUCUUUUUUUGUAUAUGAACUGCGGCUACAGCACGGCUACUGACAGAUGAGCGGUGUAUGUCCACGCCCGGGAACUGAACCUGGGCUGCCAAAGGAGAGCAUGCCGAGCUUAACCACUAGGCCACUGCGGCUGGUCCUCAGGAUAGUUUCAAUUUGUAUUUCUCUUAUUAAAAGUGGAGUUGACACCAAAAGCAUGAGCAACAAAAGGAAAAAUAGAUAAUUUGGACUUCACCAAAAUUAAACACUUUUGUGCAUCAAAGGACGUUAUCAAGAAAGUGAAAAGGCAGCCCAAAGACCAGGAGAAAACAUCGCGAAUCGUCUACCUGACAGAGGUCUAGUGUCCAAAAUAGAUACGGAGCUCUUGCAACUCAACAACCAAAAGAUGAACAACCCAACGAAAAAACGGGCAAAGGAUUAGAAGAGAGAUUUCUCCACAGAAGACACACAAAGGGCCAGGAAGCCUCGAGAAGGUGCUGCACAUCACUAACCACCAGGGAAACACAAAGCCAGCCACAGCGAGAUGCCCCUCACACCCAGCAGGGGAGGUAGGACUGAGAAAUGGCAGGAACCGCGAGUGUCAGGAGAUGUGGAGAAGCUGGAAGCCUCGUGUGUGCUGGGGAGGACUCUUGUACUGAUGUUGGGCCCACCCAGAUACUCCAGAAUGAUCUCCCAUCUCAGGCACAGCCGACCAGCAACCUUAAUUCCGUUUGCGCCACGAUCUCACCGGUUCACAGCUCCCGGGGAUAGGGUGCUGGCCUCUUGGGGCUGUUAUCCCGACCACCACAGGAAAGGAUGCAGUUUCAGAGGCCCCGGCUUCUCCUCAUCACAACAGCUCUUACUUCUUGGACUAACGAACCACUGCAGGGGUUGUGUUAACCACAAGCUCUCUCACGCCAGGAGAGUGGAGACGCUGCAUGAAGCCAGCUCAGCUGCUUUUCCCUCACUUCUCCAUCCAGACACGUCUUCAGUGCCCUCUACUCCAGCCUUCUGAAGGCCAGGCAAGGACUGAGCGGAGAAGAGCCAUGGAGGGUCCCUUUCCUUCUGUGUCACCAUCUCAGCGUAAGUGGUGGCUAAAACAAGGAAGUAACGCAAGUCACCAAGGACAUGAUAAGGUUUCCCAGUCAUCCGUAUUUCCUGGAAUGCCAUUGCAUUCUUUCUUCAUUUGUAGCAAGUUCUGGUCCAAACGGAAGGUGUGGCCUUUUGGCACCAUCAGUGGCCCCUCUUAGCUGCAGAUGUGACACGCUUGCCUUGUGCUCACUUUAUAAUCUCAGUGCACCUCCACCGAGCGUGGGUCCACCAGAACCCUGUGCUCACGGGGCGUCGCGAAUGCCAUGCUCGAAGGGGGCCCACAGUGCAAGCAUCUGCUCAUGCGCACACUCCGUUGUCCCGCAGGCUUCACUUACAAAACACAGGUUCAAAGAUAAAAUUACUAAGGCUGUCAAGACGGCAAAGGCAGAGCGUGAAACCAAGCAUGGGGUCCUCUGAGCACGGGCCCCGUACGGCCGCAGAAGUAUUUCUUUCACGAAGCCAGCCCUGUUCGUGGGUCCGUACACCUGUGUGUGUGCAGAAACCAGGGAAAUGUUCUGCAACUUACUUUUUUUACUUAAGC